AUUGAACGCUGGCGGCAGGCCUAACACAUGCAAGUCGAGCGAGAGGCGGACGGGUGAGUAAUGUCUGGGAAAAUGCCUGUUGGAGGGGGAUAACUACUGGAAACGGUAGAGAAUACCGCAUACCAUCAGAUGUGCCCAGAUGGGAUUAGCUAGUGGGUGGGGUAACGGCUCACCUAGGCGACGAUCCCUAGCUGGUCUGAGAGGAUGACCAGCCACACUGGAACUGAGACACGGUCCAGACUCCUACGGGAGGCAGCAGUGGGGAAUAUUGCGCAAUGGGCGCAAGCCUGAUGCAGCCAUGCCGCGUGUGUGAAGAAGGCCUUCGGGUUGUAAAGCACUUUCAGCGGGGAGGCGUUACCCUCAGAAGAAGCACCGGCUAACUCCGUGCCAGCAGCCGCGGUAAUAC
rnacentral:rRNA from 1 species